UUAAGCGACUAAGCGUACACGGUGGAUGCCCUGGCAGUCAGAGGCGAUGAAGGACGUGCUAAUCUGCGAUAAGCGUCGGUAAGGUGAUAUGAACCGUUAUAACCGGCGAUUUCCGAAUGGGGAAACCCAGUGUGUUUCGACACACUAUCAUUAACUGAAUCCAUAGGUUAAUGAGGCGAACCGGGGGAACUGAAACAUCUAAGUACCCCGAGGAAAAGAAAUCAACCGAGAUUCCCCCAGUAGCGGCGAGCGAACGGGGAGCAGCCCAGAGCCUGAAUCAGUGUGUGUGUUAGUGGAAGCGUCUGGAAAGGCGCGCGAUACAGGGUGACAGCCCCGUACACAAAAAUGCACAUGCUGUGAGCUCGAUGAGUAGGGCGGGACACGUGGUAUCCUGUCUGAAUAUGGGGGGACCAUCCUCCAAGGCUAAAUACUCCUGACUGACCGAUAGUGAACCAGUACCGUGAGGGAAAGGCGAAAAGAACCCCGGCGAGGGGAGUGAAAAAGAACCUGAAACCGUGUACGUACAAGCAGUGGGAGCACGCUUAGGCGUGUGACUGCGUACCUUUUGUAUAAUGGGUCAGCGACUUAUAUUCUGUAGCAAGGUUAACCGAAUAGGGGAGCCGAAGGGAAACCGAGUCUUAACUGGGCGUUAAGUUGCAGGGUAUAGACCCGAAACCCGGUGAUCUAGCCAUGGGCAGGUUGAAGGUUGGGUAACACUAACUGGAGGACCGAACCGACUAAUGUUGAAAAAUUAGCGGAUGACUUGUGGCUGGGGGUGAAAGGCCAAUCAAACCGGGAGAUAGCUGGUUCUCCCCGAAAGCUAUUUAGGUAGCGCCUCGUGAAUUCAUCUCCGGGGGUAGAGCACUGUUUCGGCAAGGGGGUCAUCCCGACUUACCAACCCGAUGCAAACUGCGAAUACCGGAGAAUGUUAUCACGGGAGACACACGGCGGGUGCUAACGUCCGUCGUGAAGAGGGAAACAACCCAGACCGCCAGCUAAGGUCCCAAAGUCAUGGUUAAGUGGGAAACGAUGUGGGAAGGCCCAGACAGCCAGGAUGUUGGCUUAGAAGCAGCCAUCAUUUAAAGAAAGCGUAAUAGCUCACUGGUCGAGUCGGCCUGCGCGGAAGAUGUAACGGGGCUAAACCAUGCACCGAAGCUGCGGCAGCGACGCUUAUGCGUUGUUGGGUAGGGGAGCGUUCUGUAAGCCUGCGAAGGUGUGCUGUGAGGCAUGCUGGAGGUAUCAGAAGUGCGAAUGCUGACAUAAGUAACGAUAAAGCGGGUGAAAAGCCCGCUCGCCGGAAGACCAAGGGUUCCUGUCCAACGUUAAUCGGGGCAGGGUGAGUCGACCCCUAAGGCGAGGCCGAAAGGCGUAGUCGAUGGGAAACAGGUUAAUAUUCCUGUACUUGGUGUUACUGCGAAGGGGGGACGGAGAAGGCUAUGUUGGCCGGGCGACGGUUGUCCCGGUUUAAGCGUGUAGGCUGGUUUUCCAGGCAAAUCCGGAAAAUCAAGGCUGAGGCGUGAUGACGAGGCACUACGGUGCUGAAGCAACAAAUGCCCUGCUUCCAGGAAAAGCCUCUAAGCAUCAGGUAACAUCAAAUCGUACCCCAAACCGACACAGGUGGUCAGGUAGAGAAUACCAAGGCGCUUGAGAGAACUCGGGUGAAGGAACUAGGCAAAAUGGUGCCGUAACUUCGGGAGAAGGCACGCUGAUAUGUAGGUGAGGUCCCUCGCGGAUGGAGCUGAAAUCAGUCGAAGAUACCAGCUGGCUGCAACUGUUUAUUAAAAACACAGCACUGUGCAAACACGAAAGUGGACGUAUACGGUGUGACGCCUGCCCGGUGCCGGAAGGUUAAUUGAUGGGGUUAGCCGCAAGGCGAAGCUCUUGAUCGAAGCCCCGGUAAACGGCGGCCGUAACUAUAACGGUCCUAAGGUAGCGAAAUUCCUUGUCGGGUAAGUUCCGACCUGCACGAAUGGCGUAAUGAUGGCCAGGCUGUCUCCACCCGAGACUCAGUGAAAUUGAACUCGCUGUGAAGAUGCAGUGUACCCGCGGCAAGACGGAAAGACCCCGUGAACCUUUACUAUAGCUUGACACUGAACAUUGAGCCUUGAUGUGUAGGAUAGGUGGGAGGCUUAGAAGUGUGGACGCCAGUCUGCAUGGAGCCGACCUUGAAAUACCACCCUUUAAUGUUUGAUGUUCUAACGUUGACCCGUAAUCCGGGUUGCGGACAGUGUCUGGUGGGUAGUUUGACUGGGGCGGUCUCCUCCUAAAGAGUAACGGAGGAGCACGAAGGUUGGCUAAUCCUGGUCGGACAUCAGGAGGUUAGUGCAAUGGCAUAAGCCAGCUUGACUGCGAGCGUGACGGCGCGAGCAGGUGCGAAAGCAGGUCAUAGUGAUCCGGUGGUUCUGAAUGGAAGGGCCAUCGCUCAACGGAUAAAAGGUACUCCGGGGAUAACAGGCUGAUACCGCCCAAGAGUUCAUAUCGACGGCGGUGUUUGGCACCUCGAUGUCGGCUCAUCACAUCCUGGGGCUGAAGUAGGUCCCAAGGGUAUGGCUGUUCGCCAUUUAAAGUGGUACGCGAGCUGGGUUUAGAACGUCGUGAGACAGUUCGGUCCCUAUCUGCCGUGGGCGCUGGAGAACUGAGGGGGGCUGCUCCUAGUACGAGAGGACCGGAGUGGACGCAUCACUGGUGUUCGGGUUGUCAUGCCAAUGGCACUGCCCGGUAGCUAAAUGCGGAAGAGAUAAGUGCUGAAAGCAUCUAAGCACGAAACUUGCCCCGAGAUGAGUUCUCCCUGACUCCUUGAGAGUCCUGAAGGAACGUUGAAGACGACGACGUUGAUAGGCCGGGUGUGUAAGCGCAGCGAUGCGUUGAGCUAACCGGUACUAAUGAACCGUGAGGCUUAACCUU
rnacentral:rRNA from 2 species